AGGCAGUACCAUUUUGGCUCCACUAGUUCACUCCCACCGAGAGCUCUCUUCUUCUCCUUUCUCUUCCUCAUUUCAUCGCAAAUACCCACCACCAAGGCCUCCACCGCUCUCCUCCGUAAGCUUGCUUCUUGAGGCAAUUUUGCUUAAAGCCAAAUUCUUAGAGGAACUCGAGCGAUACGCAGGUAUUACCGCCUACAGUUAACAAUCAUCAACUCAACAAGGUAUAGAUAAAAGCCUAUGUUUGUGCAAUUGCUUUAUAGGCUGCUGUGAGAUGUGAGAUUGUUUGGGAUUAUUUACGAGGAAAAAUGAGAGAUCAUUCAUAAUGUCUAAAGGAUGAAUGAUGUUUAUUGGAUUGGAGAAUAUCAGAUGUGUCGUAAUUUUUUUUGAUUGAUUUGUUACUUGCUAUUCUAGAUUAAAGCAAGCUGCUAAUAAAAUUACUGGGGCGAUUGAUUUCUUGUA